CCCCCUUCCAACUCAAAACUCUUUAUUGAUGCCGUUCUAUUGUUCUGUGGCGACUGACGGUUCGUUUUCGUCAAGAUGUAUUUUUUUCCUGAAUAUCUUAUUAGUUUACUUUAAUUUUAGAAGUGACGAAUGAUAGCUAAGACUAAUAUGUAACAGGUCUCGUGUGACUGUAGUAUGGUAGUUUAAAGUGAUCAGAUAAAGUAACUAUCUAACGUUACCUGCUAGCUUGUUUUUCGACGCCGACAUUAUUUGUUGCCUCAGCUUUUUUGCGAUGGUUGCUUUUACUUGAGUACUGAAUUACUUACGAUUCGUAUGCAAUAAGAUUAACAUAGCUAUAAGAAACGAUCAAGCUGACGUGUCCGUUCUGAAAGAUGAAAGCCACAACAAGAUUAUCGUUAGGUGGCAGGGUAUUGUUGUUAUCCUCGUCAGUUACGUAGUUAAACACAGAAGAAUGGUUAUUUCAGCUGAGUUGGCAUCUCUACGCUAAGUAACAGCGAACAUGUCACAUUUGUUAACUACGGUACCUAGCCAAGAAGGCUUAUUUACCAAGCAAAAUCGCGGCGUUUGACGAUGUAGUGGAGAAAUGGCUGCCCGGGUGACUCAGUGCUGGUGCAGCUAUCUGAAGUCAAAAUGUUUUAAAGCUCAUGAAAGAAUCAGGUUGUAUAAGUGUAAUUGAAAUAACCAAGUUACAAGACCAGAACCUUAUGAAGGGAGUGAAGCCGUUCGAAUAGCCAGCUAAAUAUUUGAAUAGAAAUAAGUGGGACCUACGCUCAAUAUCUACUUCAAUGCGUAUACUAUUUUCUUAACCUAAAAUGAAGACUAGUUUACAAGAUAAAUUUGAGCCCUUGGGAAUGGGCCGUAAAAUAUACCACUUACAAGACUGCCAUCUUGUGAAGACACGGAGAAUGGCCAGCUAAAUAUUUGAAGAUCAAGUUGAGCGUAGGUCCCUUAUAUCCGAGGCAGUUGAUAUACCUCAGUGCGUUAGAAGUGUUGCUUUUAGUUGGUUGCGCAUCAGGAAAAACAAUUUUAUAGUGAAAAGGGAACCAAGGUACAAGACUAUCCUUUCAAAAGUUUACGCUUUGAUUCUAGCCAGAAAAAAAUGUUUUAUCUAAACUGAAUAAGUACUGGUAGUUUGUCUCAAAUCAGUAUAGGCGACAUGUGAAAUAACCAAGUUACUGAUCUUGAAUCAUAUGAGAAGUUGUGAAGCCUCUUGAAUAGCCAACUGAAUAUUGGAAGUUGUGCUGCAGUGGCCUUUUGAUCAUUUGAGUUAUAUUUAUUGAUUUACAUUUUUUUUUUUACGUGAAGUACAAUAUGUGCUUAUUUUGUGAAACUUUUAUUUCAAUAGCAAACGAAAUAUUGGAAGAUAAUUUAGGCCAACAGUGCCUGUUUGUCGGUCAUUUAAGCUGCUUCAAGAAGUAAAAAUAUUUUGAGCCUAAAAUGAACAAGAUGUGCUGCCGGUUACAUUUCCAAGUACAGCAGUUGCUUUGCUAGCACUAGCGGUAGGUCAAGGAGGUGCAGGCUCGUGACGUUGCUUUGCUAGCACUAGCGGUAGGUCAAGGAGGUGCAGGCUCGUGGCUUUGCUAGCACUAGCGGUAGGUCAAGGAGGUGCAGGCUCGUGACGUUGCUUUGCUAGCACUAGCGGUAGGUCAAGGAGGUGCAGGCUCGUGACGUUGCUUUGCUAGCACUAGCGGUAGGUCAAGGAGGUGCAGGCUCGUGACGUUGCUUUGUCACGCUUCAGAUUUGAUAAACUUCAUCUAAACACAAUUGGCUCUAGUUGGCGAAGAAAAGAAGAUUUUGCUGUAGAAGAAUGGACUGAAGAAUGGACUUUUACGGGGUGGGGGGGGCACUUAGCUAGUAUGCAGUUUGAUCAGAUGAGGAAGGACUACUUCAGGAUCAGGCAGAAGGAAACUGGGAGGACCAGCGGGGAGCCAGGCAGGAUCCAGGUGGAUCGCGGGAGGAGCAGAUGGGACCCAGUUGAGCGAGCGGAACGCAGCAGUUUUCAUCAGAGGGAGCGCGCCAGAUGGCAGGGUAGCGAGCUGAGAGCGGAGCAGUCCCAGGUCGAGCGUUGCCCCAAUGCAGCCAGUGGGUCCCAGCAGAAAUGAGGCAGACGAGUAAAAGGGUCAACUAGCUUCGCAAGUGACAAGUGUUUGUAUGAUGGGUAGUGGUAUCGAGUAAUGUUUAACUGGGCCAACAUCUUUGAAAUUAGUCCAUAUUAAAUCUGUCAACACAUUUUCUCGCGAAGUUUUCUUCCUCUUUCAGGUAAAGUGUUAAUUUUCCUGGUUGUGCCCUCUUCCUGUGUGAUGUCUGCUGUGAUGAGUCCCCCUUGGCCUACUUGGUAGAGUGCACUGGCGAGAGGACUGUCUUAAAGGAUUUCACCCUCCUGCAGCGCAGAUGUAGUACCCCCCCUGGGCGGAGGAGUUUCUUCAUUGAGUUCAAUAGGUCUACUCCCCUGAGAAGUGGUCUACAUGGGAGUGUUGCGAGUCGAAAUUCUUCUGUUCGUUCGUGCUGCUUUGGUGCUGAGCAGCUACAUCUGCUGGUUAAAGCUCGCACCUUAAAGCAAACCUGACCAUCCAAGGGAGUCCCUCUUUAGUACUGCUCACCACAUUAAUGAAAACGGUUGAGCACGUUCCGAAACAGAUCAUUCUAAGGAUGGAUCAAGGGAAAUCUCUGGUGUUAAAAUCAUGUAGGAAGGUAUUUUGUACUGGUUUUCUAUAGUGAGUUAAUCAUUUGCAUAUACUGUUUUUCUUCCAAUAUUUUGUAGGGAUACACACUUGGGUUCUGGGAGGGUUGUGGGGGUGUUAAUCAAAUAUUUUCCUAGAGUUUUUUUCACACAGCUUCGUGUAAAGCAGCAUUUUAAAGAUCCAAAUGAUUAGCGUUGAUGUUUGAGGAGCAAGGAGUCAACCCAGUGGUCCGGUCCACGUCUUUCGGGGUUCCUUUUGCCUUGUGGUGUGGAUAUUCCUUGGUGUCUACAAUGAUGUAGCAGGAGGCGGGCCACCUUUUGGGAUGUGAACUUGCGGUGUUCUCCCAGGGAGUGUGGUAACUUAACUUUUAGGCUGAUGCAUUAUAUAUCCUUGAGUUGAAAUUUGCAUUUGGGGUUUCUGGGGUCAGGGGAGGGCUUAACUGUGACUCUUCCAGAUUAUGACCCACCCCUCAAUGAAAGAUUGGAGGUCUACAUCUCCCCCGUCUUAAGGAGAACAGCUGAUGCCUUGAGGCCAGUGGUAUUUAACUGUUUCUUGUGUAAAGUUAUUGUGUACGUGAAUUUGUGUAUUUUAAUUGUAUUUUAGCAACUGUUAAUAGAAUUUUGAUAGUGGGUUGGUUACUGUCUGGGUUUGUAUGGGUGGGAAUGGUGGAAGUCUUGUUUUCCAGUGUGCUGUGUCCUACGCUUUCAGUACUGAAGAUCAACAGGAACGCCCCUAACUCAUUGUAUGUCAAGGUUUACUGUUGCUUCAAAACACCUCAUUAGGUCUCAAGUAAGGUCCCUUACAAAUGUUUUCACAUUUUUAUAUUUCAUUAAUGACAUUUGGCACCUUGCCUUAAUUGCACGCCUUUGCAAAUUAGUUAAAUGUUUUGUAUUGAUGCAACUGAACAUUGUCAAGGAAUUAUAAUUGGUAAUAAAUGCAUAGCUUUUUGUGAUUGAA